GUGUUUUCUUCUAGAUUCUUUCCACCAUGGCCAGACGCCCCCGGAACAGCAGGGCCUGGCACUUCGUCCUGAGUGCAGCCCGCCGAGACGCAGAUGCCCGGGCCGUGGCUCUAGCAGGCUCCACUAACUGGGGCUACGACUCUGAUGGGCAGCACAGCGACUCGGACUCCGACCCCGAGUACUCCACGCUGCCGCCAUCCAUCCCCAGUGCAGUGCCCGUGACCGGCGAGUCCUUCUGUGACUGUGCUGGGCAGAGCGAGGCCUCCUUCUGUAGCAGCCUGCACUCGGCCCACCGGGGCAAGGACUGCCGCUGUGGAGAGGAAGACGAGUGUGAGCGUGGGGCCCAGCCCCUGCUGGGACUGCACUGCGGGCGGGCCUGGGGGCGGGCAGGGCAGAGCCCCAUGGAGCUCUCAGGGCUGCCCCAGCCUGGGCCUCUCUUGCAGAUUUCGACUGGGUCUGGGAUGACUUGAAUAAGUCAUCAGCCACCCUGCUGAGCUGUGACAACCGUAAGGUCAGCUUCCACAUGGAGUACAGCUGCGGCACAGCGGCCAUCCGGGGCACCAAGGAGCUGGGGGAGGGCCAGCACUUCUGGGAGAUCAAGAUGACCUCUCCCGUCUACGGCACCGACAUGAUGGUGGGCAUCGGGACGUCGGAUGUGGACCUGGACAAAUACCGCCACACGUUCUGCAGCCUGCUGGGCAGGGAUGAGGACAGCUGGGGCCUCUCCUACACGGGUGCGUGAGGCCCAGGGUGGGGCGGGGCCGAGCCUGGAGCUCCCGGGCUCACUGCGACCCUGGCUGCCCCCAGGCCUCCUCCACCACAAGGGCGACAAGACCAGCUUCUCGUCGCGGUUCGGCCAGGGCUCCAUCAUUGGCGUGCACCUGGACACCUGGCAUGGCACGCUCACCUUUUUCAAGAACAGGAAGUGUAUAGGUGUGGCAGCCACCAAGCUGCAGAACAAGAGGUUCUACCCGAUGGUGUGCUCCACGGCGGCCCGGAGCAGCAUGAAGGUCACCCGCUCCUGCGCCAGCGCCACCUCCCUCCAGUACCUGUGCUGCCACCGCCUGCGCCAGCUGCGGCCAGACUCGGGAGACACGCUGGAGGGUCUGCCGCUGCCGCCGGGCCUCAAGCAGGUGCUACACAACAAGCUGGGCUGGGUCCUGAGCAUGAGCUGCAGCCGCCGCAAGGCUCCAGCGUCCGAUCCCCAGGCAGCGACCUCGGCCCACCCCAGCAGUCGCGAGCCUCGGCCCUGCCAGAGGAAGCGCUGCCGCCGGAUCUGACUGACUGCCCCAGUGGAACUGCCUUCUUGGGCUAGGACAGCCCCUUUCCUCCGUCCCUUCUUUCUCUGUCCCUUCCUUCCAGCCACACUCCAGGGCGGAGUUGGAUGAGGCCCGUCCGGAGGGAGCCAUCUCUUGCUCCCGAGGCUGGGACAGUCCUUUCUGGGGGGGCUCUAGGGCUCCUCUGCUGCUGUGCUGGGUGGGGAAGCGGCUGCCCUGAGCCCCAGGUCUUGUGGGAGGCUGCGAGGACGAGAGCCUGGCUGGAGCCCGCGUUGCCGUUCCCACAGGGCCUCGGUUUUUCCUAAC
rnacentral:sRNA from 1 species